rnacentral:lncRNA from 1 species
UGCCCUUCAUUCCCUUAUCUCUCAACUCUCUCUCAACCUCACCCUAAAACGUAGCUGCCAGCACCCGUAACAGUCCUCGUCUAUGGGGUUUCUCUGUAUUUUUGAACCUUGCCGGCCUGCUAUAUCUUCUGGUUGUUCGACUUCAUUGAUCCAUGAGAGAAUUUCAAAGAGAUUCAACCUGAUUUUUCUCCAAACCUUUUCACAGGCUUGUCUAUGGCCAUUUUCGUUUGUGAGUGCUAUUUUCUUCCUAUUUUUGGUUGGAAUCUAUAGGUUUAGAUUGCUUUCUUUUUGUCCCUGCCAUUUUCCAAAACCCUAGUCUUAUGACUACUUGGGUCUGUUAAGAUCUUUGUAGAUUUGAAACAUUCUGAGUAUUAUUUGGUAUUUUUCAACAAAAAACUUUCUAUUUCUCUUAUCAUUAUUUUAUUCAAUAAUUUUUAAGAAUUAGGGCUCGUCUUAAGUUCAUUUCAAAUGAUUUCAAACUUCCAAGUGUUGAAUUUGACUAUUCUUUACUAGCUUGAUUGAUUCUCGUGUGUAUGCUUAAACCCUAGACGUUUAUGUUUGUGACACUGAUUACUUCAAAUUUCUCAUGUUAUUUGUUUAUUUUUGUUAACCCAAUAUACUGAUUGAUUUCUAUUAGGGAUUUGAAUAAUUUAUCCUAAUAAAAUCAGUAUUUUGGGGUUUUACUUACUUUCUAUAUUUGUGAUCUUUAAUUGGUGUUACUUGCCUUAUUCUGUCUAAUUAGUUAAUUUAUGGUCAAUAAGUGAUUUGUUUACCUUAUUUGAAUUCCAAUCAGGGUUGGUACUUGAUUCUCGUUGUGCUAUCGUGAUAUUCCCGGAUUCUGUUUACGCGGAUUCAUUGGGUUUAGCCCCAAUUAACUGAUUGAUUAUAUUUACUUGCCUUAUUUACAAAUUUUAAAUUAUUCUUUCCUUAUUUGUCUUCUUUACCAAGUGGUAUAUAUACUCUAAUUCUGAUUUUUCUAGAGACACGAACAAUAGUUCAGAAACACACACAAACUUUGCUCUAACUAAAUCCUUUUCGCUACUUGUAUUCGUCACAUUGUCUAGCUUGCUGAAAGCCAAGACUAGAUCAGUGAGUUCUACAUACUUUCACCUUCUGUUUUCCUAUCUUUAACUGGUAUGUUUCCAUUCCUAAGGCCAUUCAUUAUGUUAUGAAGCUAAAACCUAUGUUCUUUCUUGUCUGUUGCUUUAUUUAUGUUGAAUCCAUGACAUUUCUGCAUUACAAUUAGCAUGACUACUAAUGGACUUCAAUUAGUAUGGCUACUUCUGUGCAAUUUAACCUAUAUGUCUCUUGAUCCUAAUCAACAUGACUACUUCUGUAUUUAGCUCUGUUUCUUUUAUGCCUAUUGCUUUAAACCAGCAUGAUUACUUCAAUUAUUAUCCAAUAUUGGGUAAUUUAAGCUUAUGUGCUUCCUAUUUUUUGAAUUCUGAUUGGCAUGUCUAUCCCCAAUUGAGUAUUAGGGAAUUUGGCUGUCAACCUGCUUUGUGUCAACUGGCAUACUUUCCUUCCUAACCUAUUUUAUGUGCUCUUGACUAAUGACUACUAUGUUCCCAAUCCUUACUACCUUCUUUGCAUGGUUCUUAUUCAUUAUUAUUCUACUCCCAAUAUUCUAUGUGACCCACCUAGGUAUAACUACUGGAUUGAGUUGAAUCUAUACAAUCUGAAGCUUGAUUAAAAUGGUUGUGAGCCUGUGUUUUCCUUGUUUGAUUGUUUAGGGGUGCAAUUAUUCUAAUUACUUUUGUUUCACUUUUACUCUUGUUUCACUUCUAAACUGUUUUCUUAAAAAUAUUUGUAUUUUCAUGCACCAUAUUUCAACUCAUACUCUUAUAACACCUAGGGUCUUGCCCCUCUAGUGUAAGCAUUGCUUAGGAGUCCCUUGAGGCUCCUCUAAACUUUGACACACUAGAGUUGACUUUCCAAAACUUGCUCACAAAGGGUUACUUUAAAUGUUUCCUGGUGGGAACAUUGCCCAGGGUCCCUGGGUCCCUUGGAAACUUUGACACACAAGGAUCCUUUUGGGUGCACUAUAAGAUUAUGACAUUUUUGGACUGGUUGAAGGCCUGGUCUGCCAUGUUUAUAUUUUAGGCCUAUAUCAAGGCUCCCUAUAGUUGUAUUAACUCCACUUCUAUAGUUCAUUAUUAGUAUUGAUUUGUAAUAGAAAAUUUCUUGUGAACAGAUAUUGG